rnacentral:lncRNA from 10 species
UGCACUAAAGUUUGUUUAUUCAAUUCUUAUUAGGGAGAUGUUUGGAUUGUUUCCAGUUUUUGGCAAUUAUAUGUAAAGUCACCUCUGUACAGGUUUUCAAGUGACCAUAGUUUUCAUUUCACUUGGGUCAAUAACAAGUAGGAGGCCAAGCUGUGUGGGAAGCCUGCUGCCAUGUCUUGAGGACCCUCCAACAGCUCUGUGGAGAAGCCCACAUGGUGAGAAACUGAGGCCUUCAUGCAACAGCCAUGUGAAAAAGUCUUCAUGGAAGUGGGUCUUCCAGCCCAAUCAGAUCUUCAGAUGACUGCAGCCCCAGCUGACAGUUUCACAGGAAACUAAUGAGAGACCCUGAACCAGAGCCACCUGGGCCCCUGAGUUUCUGGCAGUUACAGUCAGGGCCCUCUGCUGAAAGAAGCAUCAUGGAAACCUGGACACACAUGAGAACCGGCCUUCCACGCAGGCAAGAAGCAGAAACUGAGGCUCCUCCUUCUCCAUCAUGAGGAAUGUCUUCUGGAAGGCCCUCUGUUGACCUCUCUUGAGAGAUGGCUUUGGUCUGGGUCACCCUGGGCCAUCAGUCAUAUUCUAAUAAUUUGAACCUUAAAAAGAAGGGGUUCUGGUUUCUGUUUCCUCUUUUUGUGUCCCAUAUAAAUUUCAGAUGCGGACAGAUGUAUAGGCAUGGGGCCUUGGCUAACUGCACUCACGACUCUUAGCCAAAUUAAUGAAGGAUAAUACUAAAGAGAACAAAACCCCCAGGGUAUUACAUAUGGAUUUCAAAUUCCAGAAUGAGUGCGAGAUAAGGGAAAUGAUGUAGUAUUUAAGACAGAAUCUCAAAUAAGAGCCAACCAAUACUGCCCCAGCCCUUGACCCGAGUUCUAAUUUCUCCUUUUGCACAUGGAAAGGGAGAAAGAAGAGGAGCAUGUGAGUGGUUUGAAGUACCCUGCCAUUCCUUACACAUCUGGGCAAAACUCAUCAUAAUAAGGUAAAUCAGUUAACGUCAAAAUGCAUCAAAGAGAAAAUGCAGCAAUUCCUACUAGAUUCAAUUUUUCAAUUUUCAUAUAAGAAUUAAAGCUAAAUAUUGACAAAGGAAAUUUAUUUCUUGCAAAUAAUUGGGGUUGAAGCUUUUAUAUGGGGUCAAUGAUUCAUAGGUUACAAUAUGGCUGAGUUGGAAGGUAUAUGAUCAUGGAUGUCAACUAUGGAGGAGAAAAUGUUGAUUUGGGAGUUUAUAGUUCCACAGAAGAAACAUGAAAGAAAAAAUAUGUAGCCAGAAAAGGUGACAUUACAAAGGGAUUUUUCCACUGUAGUUCAUGAAAGAUAAUAGACUUGGAAAUACCAGAAAGUUGCUUGUGUCUUUAAACAUUUAGUAAACAUAUAAGAAUGUAAAAUAAUUUUCUUUAAAAAGGUACAUUAAUAAUCUGGGUCAGAAUUAUAAAAAUUAAAAUUAAGAAAAUUUACCCUUUAGAAAGAAGGGGAGUGGUGAAAUGGAAAGUGAAAUAUUAUAUCUUUUGCAAUGGUGCUCUCUAAUUACUAAAAUUAAUUUCUCAGAAGUUGGGAGAUCUGGCAGAAAUCCAUAAAUAUAAACAAUUUUUUGUUUGAAAAGGAAGAAAUGAAAAUUGAGACGGAGGCUGAAGGAGGAGCCCUGAUUCUGUUUUCGGCUAUCCACAGGAUGGGACAUUUUAUGAAAGGAUUCAAAGGAAGCUUUCAAGUAAGGCUGCCUUCAUCCUUGCCAUGG